rnacentral:rRNA from 1 species
UAGUAGUCAUCCGCUGGUCUCAUAGAAGAAUCCACCCAUCAGUAAGUAGUAAUAGUUGUAGUGGGAAGCUGCGAAGGACUCAUCAUAUCAGCAAUAAUAGAUUAGGAAUAGUUUUUUUAUGGAUGACCGUAGUAAUUCUAGGGGGAAUACAUCAGUUUUCUUGGAUGGGCAGCCAUCAUAGAAGAAGUUAUUAUUCAUCAUACCAACAAAAUGGUGUUGUGAGUAAUAAUAAUUGUUGACUUUAUCGCAUGCUUGUUAGUAGCGAUGUCCUUCAAGUUCUGCCCUAUCAGCUAGAGUUGGACGGUUCGGGGCC